GAUGGGCUAAAUGGAACUGCUAACUCUCAAUACUGGGCCCAACCGCCCGGACCCAUCCAA
rnacentral:tRNA from 1 species